CCCUUAGAUGUCCUGGGCUGCACGCGCGCUACACUGAUGUGUCCAGUAAGCACCUAACCUCUUCCGAAAGGAACGGGUAACCUUUGCAAAGCACAUCGUGAUGGGGAUAGAUUAUUGCAAUUAUUAGUCUUGAACGAGGAAUUCCUAGUAAGCACAAGUCAUCAGCUUGUGUUGAUUACGUCCCUGCCCUUUGUACACACCGCCCGUCGCUCCUACCGAUUGAAUGUUCCGGUGAGCUCUUCGGACUGCGCGGUCUGCAGUUUCUGCAUUCCGUGCGGAAAGUUGCGCAAACCUUAACAUUUAGAGGAAGGAGAAGUCGUAACA
rnacentral:rRNA from 1 species